rnacentral:rRNA from 1 species
GACGAACGCUGGCGGCGUGCUUAACACAUGCAAGUCGAGCGAUGAAGUUCCUUCGGGAAUGGAUUAGCGGCGGACGGGUGAGUAACACGUGGGUAACCUGCCUCAUAGAGGGGAAUAGCCUUUCGAAAGGAAGAUUAAUACCGCAUAAGAUUGUAGUUUCGCAUGAAACAGCAAUUAAAGGAGUAAUCCGCUAUGAGAUGGACCCGCGUCGCAUUAGCUAGUUGGUGAGGUAACGGCUCACCAAGGCGACGAUGCGUAGCCGACCUGAGAGGGUGAGCGGCCACAUUGGGACUGAGACACGGCCCAGACUCCUACGGGAGGCAGCAGUGGGGAAUAUUGCACAAUGGGGGAAACCCUGAUGCAGCAACGCCGCGUGAGUGAUGACGGUCUUCGGAUUGUAAAACUCUGUCUUCAGGGACGAUAAUGACGGUACCUGAGGAGGAAGCCACGGCUAACUACGUGCCAGCCGCCGCCGUAACAC